rnacentral:rRNA from 1 species
AAUCAACGCUGGCGGCGUGCCUCAGACAUGCAAGUCGAACGAUUAAAGCUCUCUUCGGAGAGUGCAUAGAGUGGCGCACGGGUGAGUAACACGUAAGUAAUCUACCUUCGAGUGGGGAAUAACGUCCGGAAACGGGCGCUAAUACCGCAUAAUGCAGCGGCAUCGCAAGGAUGACAGUUGUUAAAGGAGCAAUCCGCUUGAAGAGGAGCUUGCGGCAGAUUAGCUAGUUGGUAGGGUAAUGGCCUACCAAGGCUACGAUCUGUAACCGGUCUUAGAGGACGGUCGGUCACACUGACACUGAAUAACGGGUCAGACUCCUACGGGAGGCAGCAGUCGGGAAUUUUGGGCAAUGGGGGAAACCCUGACCCAGCAACGCCGCGUGAAGGAUGAAGUAUUUCGGUAUGUAAACUUCGAAAGAAUAGGAAGAAUUAAUGACGGUACUAUUUAUAAGGUCCGGCUAACUACGUG